UACGUAGGGUGCGAGCGUUAAUCGGAAUUACUGGGCGUAAAGCGUGCGCAGGCGGUUUUGUAAGCCAGAUGUGAAAGCCCCGGGCUUAACCUGGGAAUGGCAUUUGGGACUGCAAGGCUGGAGUGCGGCAGAGGAGACUGGAAUUCCUGGUGUAGCAGUGAAAUGCGUAGAUAUCAGGAGGAACACGAUGGCGAAGGCAGGUCUCUGGGCUGACACUGACGCUCAUGCACGAAAGCGUGGGGAGCAAA
rnacentral:rRNA from 1 species